UAUGAACUAUUUUCUUCAGUACGAAAGGACCAAAAAAAUAGGACCCAUGCUCACAGCAAGUCCUCAUUAUCCAUUGAAACAAUAUCAAACCCACAGUACCAACUCACCCUAAAACAGGGAC
rnacentral:rRNA from 1 species